rnacentral:tRNA from 88 species
GCGGAAGUGGCGAAAUUGGUAGACGCACCAGAUUUAGGUUCUGGCGCCCUAGGCGUGAGAGUUCGAGUCUCUCCUUCCGCACCA